AGCUAUUAAGUGCUCCCUGGGUGGCCACUGUUCGUAUAACCGAACGCCACGUGGAAAAGAAAACGGCGGCCAUCUUGUUCGCACGAGGAGAACCAGCGGGACUUGGUCUUCGAGUGUCUGGAACUAAAAUCGGACACUCGACCUCACGAACUACCGCUGGAAACUACCAAACGCCGGCUUCUCAUACUUCCCGAACAGCCAGGAAAGCCUCAUUCGGUAGUUCUGUGCGAACGGACAAGGGGAGCAAUCGCUACU